UACGUAGGGGUCGAGCGUUGUCCGGAGUUACUGGGCGUAAAGCGUGUGCAGGCGGCUCAUUGCGCCCGGCGUGAAAGCCCCCGGCUCAACCGGGGAGAGUCGUCGGGGACGGGUGAGCUUGAGGGUAUCAGGGGCUGGUGGAAUUCCCGGUGUAGAGGUGAAAUUCGUAGAUAUCGGGAGGAACACCAGAGGCGAAGGCGGCCACCUGGACGGACACUGACGCUGAGACGCGAAAGCGUGGGGAGCAAACAGG
rnacentral:rRNA from 1 species